AUUGAACGCUGGCGGCAGGCUUAACACAUGCAAGUCGAACGAGUGGCGGACGGGUGAGUAAUGCCUGGGAAUCUGCCUUAUGGAGGGGGAUAACUACUGGAAACUGUAGCUAAUACCGCGUACCAUAGGAUGAGCCCAUGUGGGAUUAGGUAGUAGGUGGGGUAAAGGCUCACCUAGCCGACGAGCCCUAGCUGGUCUGAGAGGAUGACCAGCCACACUGGCACUGAGAGACGGACCAGACUCCUACGGGAGGGAGCAGUGGGGAAUAUUGCGCAAUGGGGGCAACCUGACGCAGCCAUGCAGCGUGAAUGAAGAAGGCCGUCGGGUUGUAAAGUACUUUCGGUAGCGAGGCGUUAACUACAGAAGAAGCACCGGCUAACGCCGUGCCAGCAGCCGCGGUAAUAC
rnacentral:rRNA from 1 species